GCCAGUGUGGUGUAGUGGUUUGAAUAUUGGGUUACAACUCUGGAGACCAGGGGUCAAAUCCCUGCUCAGCCA